GGGGGUGUAGCUCAGUCGGUUAGAGCGCGGUUCUUAUAAAGCCGAUGUCGGCGGUUCGAUUCCGCCCACCCCCA
rnacentral:tRNA from 1 species